GAUGAACGCUGGCGGUAUGCUUAACACAUGCAAGUCGAACGGACUCUUCGGAGUUAGUGGCGGACGGGUGAGUAACGCGUGAGAAUCUGGCUUUGGGUUCGGGACAACCACUGGAAACGGUGGCUAAUACCGGAUGUGCCGAGAGGUAAAAGAGAAAUUGCCCGAAGAUGAGCUCGCGUCUGAUUAGCUAGUUGGUGAGGUAAAGGCUCACCAAGGCAGCGAUCAGUAGCUGGUCUGAGAGGAUGACCAGCCACACUGGGACUGAGACACGGCCCAGACUCCUACGGGAGGCAGCAGUGGGGAAUUGUCCGCAAGGGGCGAAAGCCUGACGGAGCAAUACCGCGUGAGGGAAGAAGGCUCUUGGGUUGUAAACCUCUUUUCUUAGGGAAGAACAAAAUGACGGUACCUAAGGAAUCAGCAUCGGCUAACUCCGUG
rnacentral:rRNA from 1 species